CCCUUAGAUGUUCUGGGCCGCACGCGCGCUACACUGAUGCAUUCAACGAGUCUAAAACCUGCUCUGAUAGGGGUGGGUAAUCUUUUGAAUGUGCAUCGUGAUUGGGAUAGAUGAUUGCAAUUUUUCAUCUUCAACGAGGAAUGCCUAGUAAACGCAAGUCGUCAGCUUGCAUUGAUUACGUCCCUGCCCUUUGUACACACCGCCCGUCGCUCCUACCGAUUGAAUGAUCCGAUGAAUAUCAUGGAUUGAGGAUGCAAGUAGGUUAGCCUAUCUUCAUCUUCGAGAAGUGAAGUAAAUCUUAUCAUUUAGAGGAAGGAGAAGUCGUAACA
rnacentral:rRNA from 1 species